GAUGAACGCUGGCGGCGUGCCUAAUACAUGCAAGUCGAGCGAACGGACGAGAAGCUUGCUUCUCUGAUGUUAGCGGCGGACGGGUGAGUAACACGUGGAUAACCUACCUAUAAGACUGGGAUAAAUUCGGGAAACCGGAGCUAAUACCGGAUAAUAUUUUGAACCGCAUGGUUCAAAAGUAAAAGACGGUCUUGCUGUCACUUAUAGAUGGAUCCGCGCUGCAUUAGCUAGUUGGUAAGGUAACGGCUUACCAAGGCAACGAUGCAUAGCCGACCUGAGAGGGUGAUCGGCCACACUGGAACUGAGACACGGUCCAGACUCCUACGGGAGGCAGCAGUAGGGAAUCUUCCGCAAUGGGCGAAAGCCUGACGGGGCAACGCCGCGUGAGUGAUGAAGGUCUUCGGAUCGUAAAACUCUGUUAUUAGGGAAGAACAUAUGUGUAAGUAACUGUGCACAUCUUGACGGUACCUAAUCAGAAAGCCACGGCUAACUACGUG
rnacentral:rRNA from 1 species